rnacentral:rRNA from 1 species
GGGGAAAGCAGAUCAAGGUAGCUUCGCUCUCCCGGCGGUGCGACGCCGUGCGUGAGAGUGGAGACGUAGACGAGCAGUGGGUAAUCUGCCCAUUAGCGGCCGGUAACUCAGACAAACUCAACCUCAUACCGCCGAAUCCCUACCGGGAAAAGCCUGUCAUCUUCGGACCUUGCGCUGAUGGAUGAGCCCCCGUCGGACUUCUUGUUGGUGGGGUAAUGGCCCACCUAGGCGACGAUGCGUAACUGGUCUGAGAGGAUGGCCAGUCACCCAGGGACUGAGACGCGGCCCGGACUCCUAACGGAGACACGGCCGGGGAAUCUUGGACAAGGGGCGCAAGCCUGAUCCAGCCAUGCCGCGAGUGUGAAGAAGGCCUUCGGGUUGUAAAGCACUUUCGUUUUGGGAGAAGGCUUUGGGCUAAUACCCUGGAGUACUUGACGUUACCUACUGACCAAACCUUGGCGGAUUUCGUGCCAACAGCCGCGGUAAUACGAAUGGUGCGAGCGUUAAUCGGAAUUACGGGGCGUAAAGCGUCGCGUAAUUAUGUGUGUUAAGUCGGAUCGUGAAAGCCCAGGGCUCAACCUAUGGAAUUGCAUCCCGAUACUGGCACGCUCGAGUGUUGUAAAACUGAGAGUGACAAUUUCUACGUGUAGCGGUGAAAAUGCAUUCCACGUCGUAACGGAACACCAGCUGUACGAGAUGCGGGACUCCUGGACUGACACUGACCCUCACGUGCGAACUGCGUGUGGAGCUAACAGAGAUUAAAUACCCUGGAGCGAACACGCAUUAGAUACAUGUGGUACUACCACGCCGGGGUUCUAUAGAUGUGCUAUGGUGUUCGCGGGGUUAUCCCGCAUCCAUUAGUAGCUGCACAGGUGAGAAGUACUGACCGCCCUCGCUUCCAGACUCAAUAUGGACUUGCACAGGCUGCACAGCUACAAAACGAUUGAGCGUGUGGCUUCACUAUCCGAGUGUCGACGCAUGAGGAUCUUUAUCAGGCUUCGACGUCCUAGCGUAUCUACGACAUGGUACGAUCUGCUGCUAUCCGUAGCAGCAUGACAGUUCGCUGCAUGGACUGUACGUCACUCGUGGUGCAUGGAUGUCGUGAUUACGUGCUCGUUACGAUGCUCGAGCUUAGUCCUCAUGACAGCAACCUCUGAUGUAACUCGUCAGGCAGACUGCUGUGACUCUACAGGAGAAUGGCGGGUACACCUCAGUCAAUUGGGGCAUUACUGCAUGGCUAGACCCGUCUACCAUAGGUGUACACAGAGGCUGCUUAGGAA